UAGGGAAUAUUGGACAAUGGGCGAAAGCCUGAUCCAGCAAUGCCGCGUGAGUGAUGAAGGCCUUAGGGUUGUAAAGCUCUUUUACCCGGGAUGAUAAUGACAGUACCGGGAGAAUAAGAUCCGGCUAACUCCGUGCCAGCAGCCGCGGUAAUACGGAGGGAGCUAGCGUUGUUCGGAAUUACUGGGCGUAAAGCGCACGUAGGCGGCUAUUCAAGUCAGAGGUGAAAGCCCGGGGCUCAACCCCGGAACUGCCUUUGAAACUAGAUAGCUUGAAUCCAGGAGAGGUGAGUGGAAUUCCGAGUGUAGAGGUGAAAUUCGUAGAUAUUCGGAAGAACACCAGUGGCGAAGGCGGCUCACUGGACUGGUAUUGACGCUGAGGUGCGAAAGCGUGGGGAGCAAACA
rnacentral:rRNA from 1 species